UCAGUAACACGUAGUCAACAUGCCAGGNGACGUGGAUACCUCGGGAAACUGAGGAUAAACCGCGAUAGGCCAUGAUUUCUGGAAUGGUUCAUGGCUGAAAUCUAUAUGGCCCCUGGAUUGGACUGCGGCCGAUCAGGCUGUUGGUGAGGUAAUGGCCCACCAAACCUGUAACCGGUACGGGCUCUGAGAGGAGGAGCCCGGAGAUGGGCACUGAGACAAGGGCCCAGGCCCUAUGGGGCGCAGCAGGCGCGAAAUCUCUGCAAUAGGCGAAAGCUUGACAGGGUUACUCUGAGUGGUUCCCGUUAAGGGGAUCUUUUUGGCACCUUUAAAAAUGGUGCAGAAUAAAGGGGUGGGCAAGUCUGGUGCCA
rnacentral:rRNA from 1 species